UAAAAACAUAAUUAAUACCAUUCUUUGCUUCAUAACACUACAAUAUAUUAGUUGAUAUGACAAGUUUAUCAUUUCGAUGAUUAAUUAUUUAAUUUAGCACUAAAUAUCGAAGCUUUAGUUAAUGGAGCCAUCUGGUAGCGAUAGUAGGAAUUACUUUCACUACAAACUUGAGCGUUUUGUCACCGAUGGCGCCACUUCAAACUGUGCUUUGAUUGUGUUGGUGCAUCUGAAGUACGUAUAGGGUUAGGAUUCAGUUUAACACAUAUAACUUACAUGCGACGUAAGCAGACAUAAUAUCUAUCAGCCGUCACGCUGCGAAUCUGUUAUAGAAGAAAUAAGACAGUGCUGUAUUGUACAUAAGAAGGUGUCAACAGUCUGUGAAGGAAUAGAUAUUUCUAAGAAAUACGAGCACAAUACUGUUGAUUAU